rnacentral:rRNA from 1 species
CCCUUAGAUGUUCUGGGCCGCACGCGCGCUACACUGACUGCUCCAACAAGUUACCUGGGCUGACAAGCGUCCGGGAAAUCUUGCAAAGGCAGUCGUGAUGGGGAUAGAUUCUUGUAAUUUUUGAUCUUCAACGAGGAAUUCCUAGUAAACGCAAGUCAUCAGCUUGCAUUGAUUACGUCCCUGCCCUUUGUACACACCGCCCGUCGCAUCUACCGAUUGAAUGGAGAGGCAAAAUCUUCGGACCGUGACGCUUGGGAGUCAAAUCUCGGGCUGUCGUGGGAAGUGGAUUAAACCUUUCUAUUUAGAGGAAGGUAAAGUCGUAACA